ACCUUUGUGGUGUAAUUGGAAGCACACUCGACUCUUACUCGAGAUGUCCGGCGUUCCAAUCAUGGCGAAGGCA
rnacentral:tRNA from 1 species